rnacentral:misc_RNA from 1 species
GUACGAUUGAUCCACUGAAGAGAGUCUUUAAAAGGCGAGUGAGAAUUCGAAGAGGGAGCGAUGGUUUCGGCGGUGGAGGAAGGCGGAUGAGUGGCGGAAGCGGAAAAUGAGGAAACAGGUCUCUGAGUUCUGGAAACAGAUUUGGCAAGACGGAGAUGGGAAAUGUGAUGGAAGAUGGGGAGAAAUUGAGCAGGCUUGGGGCGAAUGGUGGAUAAAGGAAAAGCUCGGAGGAGAGAACGGGACAUGGCGGAGGGUUUUCAGGUGGUGUAAUGGAAGAUUGAAGGAGGCAGUGAAGUGAG